rnacentral:rRNA from 1 species
AGUGAACGCUGGCGGGAGGCCUAACACAUGAAAGUCGAACGGCAGCACAGUAAGAGCUUGCUCUUACGGGUGGCGAGUGGCGGACGGGUGAGGAAUACAUCGGAAUCUACUUUUUCGUGGGGGAUAACGUAGGGAAACUUACGCUAAUACCGCAUACGACCUACGGGUGAAAGCAGGGGAUCUUCGGACCUUGCGCGAUUGAAUGAGCCGAUGUCGGAUUAGCUAGUUGGCGGGGUAAAGGCCCAACAAGGCGACGAUCCGUAGCUGGUCUGAGAGGAUGAUCAGCCACACUGGAACUGCGACACGGUCCAGGCUCCUACGGGAGGCAGCAGUGGGGAAUAUUGGACAAUGGGCGCAAGCCUGAUCCAGCCAUACCGCGUGGGUGAAGAAGGCCUUCGGGUUGUAAAGCCCUUUUGUUGGGAAAGAAGAGCAGCAGGUUAAUACCCCGCUGUUCUGACGGUACCCAAAGCAUAAGCACCGGCUACCUUCGUG